rnacentral:rRNA from 1 species
GUAGUCAUAUGCUUGUCUCAAAGAUUAAGCCAUGCAUGUCUAAGUAUAAAUAAAUUUAUAUUGUGAAACUGCGAAUGGCUCAUUAAAUCAGUUAUGAUCUACGUGACAUAUUCUUUACUACUUGGAUAACCGUGGUAAUUCUAGAGCUAAUACAUGCAAAAAAACCCAAACUUACGAAUGGGUGCACUUAUUAGAUAAAGCCAACGCUGGGUAAAACCAGUUUCCCUUGGUGAUUCAUAAUAAUUUAGCGGAUCGCAUGGCCUUGUGCUAGCGACAGUCCACUCGAUUUUCUGCCCUAUCAUGGUUGAGAUUGUAAGAUAGAGGCUUACAAUGCCUACAACGGGUAACGGGGAAUA